rnacentral:rRNA from 1 species
UACGUAGGGGGCAAGCGUUGUCCGGAAUCAUUGGGCGUAAAGAGCGUGUAGGCGGCCAGAAAAGUCCGCUGUGAAAACUCGAGGCUCAACUUCGAGCUGUCGGUGGAAACUUUCUGGCUAGAGUCCGGAAGAGGAGAAUGGAAUUCCUGGUGUAGCGGUGAAAUGCUCAGAUAUCAGGAAGAACACCCGUGGCGAAGGCGGUUCUCUGGGACGGUACUGACGCUGAGACGCGAAAGCGUGGGGAGCGAACAGG